rnacentral:lncRNA from 1 species
GUCGGGGCCGGGCCUCGGGCCGAGUCUGAGAAGGAACACGAUUGGUGCCCAUCGGUGGCGGCCACGGGCAUCACUCCUGGUGCCCAAGGCCUUUAUUCGGUGCUGUGCCAAGCAUCUUAACUGCAUUGAGUGUUACAGGCCUGCCACCUGGUCGGGAGCAGUGAUUCGUCUGAGGUCACAGAGCUAGUAGGUGGCCGAUGGGAUCAGAACCGUGGUUGUGUGGCUUUUGGCUUCCCAGGUGUGUUGUGGACUUCUCCUGCCCCCUCAAGGUCACAGAGCACCCUCCCAUGAAGCGGGGGGCCCCACCUUGUCCCGCCUGCUGGACCGCCUCCUGGCCACUGGCGCUGUGCUGCCCAGGCUGCUGCCACGGCCAGCACAGCGUGGUCUCCGGGGCGCUCCGAUGUCAGUCUGUCCUGCGUCCUCCUGCCAGGUGCUGGGUGUGCUUGAGGCGCCUGCACCCAUGUGGCUCGGGCUCCGGCUCAGCGGGGGUCGGGCUUGGCCUGGUCUCUCCCUGGGGAUCGGCGUCCACACGUGCAGCCCCUGUCCUUGGGCCCACGGGAGUGGUCUGCCUCGCGAGAGCCGGAUUCCGAUUCAGUGUAGUGCGUUCGGAGCAUCUGUUGAUGUCGGUUUGUGCAUAGAACAAACUUGUUUGGGUAGCUCGCUGUGGUGGCGGCAGUGGACACAUCAGCCCACACUGGCCUCGCACAGGCAUCAUCCGUCUGUUGGGAACGUGCACAUCCCUCGGUAUCUCCGUGGGUUCACACGCAGCGGAAUUCCCAGGUCGGUGGGCAGAUGGACUUUCUGGCCGAGACCAGCCAGUGGAGCUGCUGAGCCCUGCCCGCGUGAACCACAUGCCCAGCACUGGUAA